GCAGCGGCGGCGGUGUGGUCUAAUCUCAUUUAUUCAGGACAGCUGCUUAAAGUGGCAUCCUGCGGGCCUAGCUAAUGUAGAUGUGGCCUAAGAAAUGGGUCUCCCACCAGCACUAAACAAGGAUUACUAAACCGGGUCACACGGUCCGUGCCACGGCGGGCUGGCUGUCCUGACUCCUGCAUAUGGCUAAAGGCAGUGUCCUCUAUCUUUCUGCUUUCUCUCAUUUUCCUAUAUUAAGGACAUUCUCACUUCCAGAGACUGCUGCAGUUCCUCUUCCACCUGGUAUUCUUGUAAUCUCUACAGAGCUGUUGGAGAGUGAAGCAGCACAGAGCUGACCAUUUAAAGACUCCUCCUGACCAGACCACACCUCUGUCGCUGAGUCCAUGGAAGCCAAGGCCAAGUCUGGGGCUCCAGCACCCAAGGCGGCAUCUAAAGCAGAGAAGAAGGAGCCGGCCGCCCCACGCAAGGCUGAACCUGCCCCUGCAGCCCCUGCAGCCCCUGCAGCCCCUGCAGCCCCUGCAGCCCCUGAGCCCGAGCAACCUCCUCCCCAGGAUGGGGCAGCAGAAGCUGAAGCAGCAGGUGAAGAGGCUGCGGCCUCCGGCACAGACUCUCUGGAACACCUGAAACCCUUUUUCAUUGGUGGUGCUGUUAUUGCUGUAGGAGCCAUCUUUCUGGGAGUAUUGCUACUGGCGAGGAGAAAUUAAAACCAAAUCAUUAUCUCAUAUUAAAGUAUGUAUUGGUGAUGAGUUAGUUGUUACUGAGUGGUUCACAGACUAUUAUAGUAGUGAUGGGGGAUGGGGCCACUGUGCAUCUUUUUUGUUGGCCUGCUUUCACUUGUAGUGAAUCAACCCAUUCACGUUUUGAUAAAGGCUGUAUAUGGAGCGUAAUUACACAAUAUAUGCAUGAAGUUGCUUCAAUACUGCAUCAGAACUGUAAUAAUCAAUUUCUUUAAAAACAAAAACUCACACUGUAGUAUUGAGCUAAAAAGGUUAAACUCUACUUAAGGUAUCUUAUUCAACUGCUUUAUCCUGUUUAAUCCACUUUGCACAAAUAUUGACAUAAACUUGCAAUACUUGUACAUUCUUGCUCCAAAAAUAAGCUUGGUUCACUUUGCUAAAAGAUAAUGUAUUCAUAAUGUUGAAACUUACAGAUAGCAAUACAUGGCUAUCAGAAUUGUUCAGGUUCUAUUUUACAUUUUAAAUAAUUAAAUUGAAAGAGAAACAGAUGGAAAUAUGCACUGUGAUGUAUUGCACAUAUGUUGACAAAAUCAAUGCCUAAAUUAAGGGAUUUGGUUUUGAGACACUGUAUCCCUGCAUAUCCAAAAAAUGUCAAAUAGAGAAUGGCAAAGUACAAUUUUAAUAAAUCAACUUUUUCAGAGACAGGAAAUAUAAGCAUGCAGUGGUUGUAGGGAAUGGGAUGUUGGGAAUUGUAGGAGAUAAAACAUGUACAGUAUAAUAGUAUAAUAGUGAAGUUACCUCUUGCUGUAGAAUAAGAACGUCUCAUUUUACUGUCAACAAAUCAAUAACCUUUCAUGUCUCACACAACAUCCACAGUUGUGCUGGUUAAAUCUUUUAACAUCCUACAGUAGAUACUUAGCUAUAGCAUGCUGAACAGCCAUUAGUGUUACAUUAUCAGGUUGAAAGCCUGCUACCAAAACAUGAGUUGUUUAUGUCUUCAUUGUGCUCCCCUUAUGUGGCUUCAAGAAAAAAUUUAAAUCCUCAUUCCUAACUACGUACAACUUAAUUGUAAUGACAGCAGCCAGUUGCUAAUACAAUGAAAGUUGGGCUGUAGAUGAACUACUGUUACUACAUACUACUACUACUACUACUACUACUACUGUAUAGUUUACUCAAAGAAAAAGAAAAAAGUCAAGCAUUCACAGCAGCAAACACUCACUGUACACAAUUGUGUCCACUCGUAUGUAAAGCUCAUGGGGAUGUCCCUGUUGUAUAAUUAGAUUGCAGAAAGACAGUUCUGAUACACACCAUUAUUUGAUUUUAGUUGUAAGGGUAGGCUACCUAUAAAUUUUACAACACAUUACUGGCCAAAAAAAAUUGUAUAGACAUACCUCGUUCACCACAGUCAACACCCCCAAACGAUGGUAUGUCAACACCAAAACAAACUUCACCUUACAUUGUACAAAACAGUGUACCAAAAAAAAGAAAUCCUAUUUUCAUAAUUUCAACAGCGUAUAAAUGCAAUAAUUCAGAUAGGACUCUUCAUUUAGCACAUGUGCUGUAGCAAGUUAAAUUACAAUAAUGAUCAUGUAAUAAUAUUGUUGGUAAUGAUGUUGAUGGCAAUGAGGGUGAUGUUACAGAUGAUAGCGAUGAAGGCAAUGAUGAUGUUUUUCAUGGUGACUGUAAUGAUAACGAUGAUUAGGAUAUAUUUUUUUAUAUAUUUCUAAUGUAUUUUCCUUAUGCACACUCCCUUCUGCCCCCAAACUCCUAAAUGUAAAAAAGAAAGAGGUCGUCAUCCAACCUUUAUUAAAGACAGUGAACCAGCCCAAGUGAGUAUUUAUUUGCAAAUAUUCUGAAUUAGGGAUCAUAUAUUUGCAGACAGAGCUUCAGUAAUAUGAAUUCAUUAAAGGUGAAAUUGUCUUUCACUUAAACUGA